UAGAUAAUUUAUCAAUAGAUGGCUACACUGUUUAGUGUUUAGUGGAUCGUCUGCAGUAGAGAUUUAUGGUUUAUCAGAUGUGGCGUUAGGGAUUCGAGACGUGUUCUGCGAGGGGAUAAUGUUCAGGACAAUUUUUCCCACAACACACGAUUGUUUGCAUUGAUUGUCGUUGUAGUAGGUUAUGACGUCACUGAAAUAACCAUUCGUCUGAAGUGCGCCACCGCCAUUGUCAACACGAAUCAUCUUCUGAUACGUUGUCCGGUCUUUUAAAUCUUUUAUUACUUUAAUGUAUUUUUGUAAUUCCUUGGCCCUUGACACUAUCUAACCAACAAAGAAACCUCCUUUUUCACGUUACUUUUACCAAUUUUUACAUACUUGUACAUUAGUUGGUUAUAGGAAACAUCUUGCCAUUCAUCCAUGCCAUCUGAUCGUGUCAACAUGCUAAUCCGAUCUUGCCACUGGCCGAAGCCUUUUUUUCAAAUUUUGCAUCCUUCCAUUUAAAGAUAUCUAAUACAAGUAUUCUGGCAUGUGUCUGGCAAUAGGGUACAGGAAUCGCAUGGUCCCUUUUAGGUGUCGAGCCUGGCCCACACCCUCUGUAAUUGAAACUGUAUUGGUAAAAUUAAUUACAUGGAGGUAGAGUGUCAAUUUGGGACUUGAUUUGUCAUCUGUUGGUUGAGGUGGAAAAACAGGGAUUGGAUCAACAAUUUUAUUCCCAUACUCACCUUUGGAAUUCUUGGAUUGUAGCUGUUGUUGCAGGACACUCUCCUUGUUUGGGACUUGAUUUGUCACCAUUUGUCGAUUUGGAAAAAUAGGGAUUGGACCAACCAUUUUAUUCCCACACUUAUCAUUGGAAUUCUGGCAUGGUAGCUGUUGUUGCAGGACACUCCUUGGUUCGUUAGUGAGGUUCCAGAAAGCAGCAUUCCAAGAGCAAGAAUCUAGUUUACAGGCUGUUAACACAAUCUAGAAUGUUUAACUUUGUUUUCCUGCCUUGAUGGUGAAAUUGAAUUGUAUUGGAAUUAAAAAAUUUGAGAAGCUA
rnacentral:lncRNA from 1 species